rnacentral:misc_RNA from 1 species
UCCGGUUUGUCACCGGCGGUCCCCUUAGAGUUCCCAACUAAGUGCUGGCAACUAAGGGCAAGGGUUGCGCUCGUUGCGGGACUUAACCCAACAUCUCACGACACGAGCUGACGACAGCCAUGCAGCAUCUGUGCAUGAGCUCCGAAGAGCACCUCUGAUCUCUCAAAGGCUUCCCAUGCAUGUCAAGCCCAGGUAAGGUUCUUCGCGUUGCGUCGAAUUAAACCACAUGCUCCACCGUUUGUGCGGACCCCCGUCAAUUCCUUUGAGUUUCAAUCUUGCGAUCGUACUCCCCAGGUGGAUCACUUAACGCUUUCGCUUGGACACGUACUGUAAUAUCGCACAUGUCGAGUGAUCAUAGUUUAGGGCGUGGACUAC